rnacentral:rRNA from 1 species
UUGUUGGUGGGGUAAUGGCCUACCAAGGCGACGAUCAGUAGCGGGUCUGAGAGGAUGAUCCGCCACACUGGAACUGAGACACGGUCCAGACUCCUACGGGAGGCAGCAGUGGGGAAUUUUGGACAAUGGGGGCAACCCUGAUCCAGCCAUUCCGCGUGAGUGAAGAAGGCCUUCGGGUUGUAAAGCUCUUUCAGCCGGAACGAAACGGUACACACUAAUAUUGUGUGCUAAUGACGGUACCGGCAGAAGAAGCACCGGCUAACUACGUGCCAGCAGCCGCGGUAAUACGUAGGGUGCGAGCGUUAAUCGGAAUUACAGGGCGUAAAGCGUGCGCAGGCGGAUUGUUAAGCAAGAUGUGAAAUCCCCGGGCUUAACCUGGGAAUGGCAUUUUGAACUGGCAGUCUAGAGUGUGUCAGAGGGGGGUGGAAUUCCACGUGUAGCAGUGAAAUGCGUAGAUAUGUGGAGGAACACCAAUGGCGAAGGCAGCCCCCUGGGAUAACACUGACGCUCAUGUACGAAAGCGUGGGUAGCAAACAGGAUUAGAUACCCUGGUAGUCCACGCCCUAAACGAUGUCAACUGGUUGUUGGGGGAGUGAAAUCCCUUAGUAACGAAGCUAACGCGUGAAGUUGACCGCCUGGGGAGUACGGUCGCAAGAUUAAAACUCAAAGGAAUUGACGGGGACCCGCACAAGCGGUGGAUGAUGUGGAUUAAUUCGAUGCAACGCGAAAAACCUUACCUACCCUUGACAUGUCCAGAAUCCUGCAGAGAUGCGGGAGUGCCCGAAAGGGAAUUGGAACACAGGUGCUGCAUGGCUGUCGUCAGCUCGUGUCGUGAGAUGUUGGGUUAAGUCCCGCAACGAGCGCAACCCUUAUCAUUAGUUGCUACGCAAGGGCACUCUAAUGAGACUGCCGG